rnacentral:tRNA from 2 species
GGGCUUGUAGUUUAGCGGCUAUAACGUCACGUUUACACCGUGAAGGUCCCAGGUUCGAGUCCUGGCAGGCCCA